AGUGAACGCUGGCGGUAGGCCUAACACAUGCAAGUCGAACGGCAGCACAGUAAGAGCUUGCUCUUACGGGUGGCGAGUGGCGGACGGGUGAGGAAUACAUCGGAAUCUACUUUUUCGUGGGGGAUAACGUAGGGAAACUUACGCUAAUACCGCAUACGACCUACGGGUGAAAGCAGGGGAUCUUCGGACCUUGCGCGAUUGAAUGAGCCGAUGUCGGAUUAGCUAGUUGGCGGGGUAAAGGCCCACCAAGGCGACGAUCCGUAGCUGGUCUGAGAGGAUGAUCGGCCACCCUGGAACGAGGACACGGUCCAGACUCCUACGGGAGGCAGCGGUGGGGAAUAUUGGACAAUGGGCGCAGGCCUGAUCCAGCCAUACCGCGUGGGUGAAGAAGGCCUUCGGGUUGUAAAGCCCUUUUGUUGGGAAAGAAAAGCAGCAGGUUAAUACCCCGCUGUUCUGACGGUACCCAAAGAAUAAGCACCGGCUACCUUCGU
rnacentral:rRNA from 1 species